rnacentral:sRNA from 1 species
CUAAAAAGCAACAAGGAGAAAGACAUCGUCUUUUUGAAAAAACGUUCUUUCGUCUCUUUUCUUUGUUCCUUGGUUUGUUUUUCUUGCCCCUUUUUGUUUAGUUGAACGGCAAUAGGAGGGUAGUCGCUCCGUCUUUUUAAACUCUUUUUUAAGUUUCCCCUCCCCUUUCAUAUUUUUUUUUUCGCCAUUUCUUUUAGCAUUGGACUUUGGGGUCGAAAGCGUUUCUUUUUAUUUGCUUCUUUUAAGCCGAGCACAGUUUAGGUUUCGUGCUGUCUUAAGAGAACUAUCCAGCAGCUUCUUGCUCAUCCUUAUUGGGAGAACUGCACCGUUACUUUAAAAACACACAUACACAAAAACCUUAAGGGAGAAAGACGGCAACUCCAAACUAACAUGGCAGUCAGACUGUGUGAUGUGGCUUCUCUGCUU